GACGAACGCUGGCGGCGUGCCUAAUACAUGCAAGUAGAACGCUGAAGGAGGAGCUUGCUUCUCUGGAUGAGUUGCGAACGGGUGAGUAACGCGUAGGUAACCUGCCUGGUAGCGGGGGAUAACUAUUGGAAACGAUAGCUAAUACCGCAUAAGAGUAGAUGUCGCAUGACAUUUGCUUAAAAGGUGCACUUGCAUCACUACCAGAUGGACCUGCGUUGUAUUAGCUAGUUGGUGAGGUAACGGCUCACCAAGGCAACGAUACAUAGCCGACCUGAGAGGGUGAUCGGCCACACUGGGACUGAGACACGGCCCAGACUCCUACGGGAGGCAGCAGUAGGGAAUCUUCGGCAAUGGACGGAAGUCUGACCGAGCAACGCCGCGUGAGUGAAGAAGGGUUUCGGAUCGGAAAGCUCUGUUGUAAGAGAAGAACGAGUGUGAGAGUGGAAAGUUCACACUGUGACGGUAUCUUACCAGAAAGGGACGGCUAACUACGUG
rnacentral:rRNA from 1 species